rnacentral:rRNA from 1 species
AUUGAACGCUGGCGGCAUGCCUUACACAUGCAAGUCGAACGGUAACAGGUCUUCGGAUGCUGACGAGUGGCGAACGGGUGAGUAAUACAUCGGAACGUGCCCGAGAGUGGGGGAUAACGAGGCGAAAGCUUUGCUAAUACCGCAUACGAUCUCAGGAUGAAAGCAGGGGACCGCAAGGCCUUGCGCUCACGGAGCGGCCGAUGGCAGAUUAGGUAGUUGGUGGGAUAAAAGCUUACCAAGCCGACGAUCUGUAGCUGGUCUGAGAGGACGACCAGCCACACUGGGACUGAGACACGGCCCAGACUCCUACGGGAGGCAGCAGUGGGGAAUUUUGGACAAUGGGCGCAAGCCUGAUCCAGCCAUGCCGCGUGCAGGAUGAAGGCCUUCGGGUUGUAAACUGCCUUUGUACGGAACGAAAAGACUCUGGUUAAUACCUGGGGUCCAUGACGGUACCGUAAGAAUAAGCACCGGCUAACUACGUGCCAGCCGCCGCGGUAAUAC